AUAUAUGCUCGCGUUAGGGAUUAUAGCGGUAGCUUUUGGCGAGAUAAGCAUCGAACCAAAACUACAAACGAAAAGCCCAAUCCGAC
rnacentral:misc_RNA from 1 species